rnacentral:rRNA from 1 species
AUACGGAGGGUCCAGGCGUUAUCCGGAAUCAUUGGGUUUAAAGGGUCCGCAGGCGGUCAAUUAAGUCAGAGGUGAAAGCCCAUCGCUCAACGAUGGAACUGCCUUUGAUACUGGUUGACUUGAGUUAUACGGAAGUAGAUAGAAUAAGUAGUGUAGCGGUGAAAUGCAUAGAUAUUACUUAGAAUACCGAUUGCGAAGGCAGUCUACUACGUAUAUACUGACGCUGAGGGACGAAAGCGUGGGGAGCGAACAGGAUUAGAUACCCUAGUAGUCC